AUACGUAGGGGGCGAGCGUUGUCCGAAUUUACUGGGCGUAAAGGGCGCGUAGGCGGUGAAUUAAGUUGGUGGUGAAAGUCCAAGGCUCAACCUUGGAAUUGCUUCCAAUACUGGUUGACUUGAGGCAUGAAUGGGGAAGUAGAAUUCCGGGUGUAGCGGUGAAAUGCGUAGAUAUUCGGAGGAAUACCGGUGGCGAAGGCGGCUUCCUGGUCAUGUCCUGACGCUGAGGUGCGAAAGCUAGGGUAGCGAACGGGAUUAGAUACCCCGGUAGUCUUAGCCGUAAACGAUGGAUACUAGUUGUCAUAGGUAUCGACCCCUGUGGUGACGAAGCAAACGCAUUAAGUAUCCCGCCUGGGGAGUACGGCCGCAAGGUUGAAACUCAAAUGAAUUGACGGGG
rnacentral:rRNA from 1 species